rnacentral:rRNA from 1 species
UACGUAGGGGGGCAAGCGUUGUCCGGAAUUAUUGGGCGUAAAGAGCGUGUAGGCGGUCCGGUAAGUCGGCUGUGAAAGUCCAGGGCUCAACCCUGGGAUGCCGGUCGAUACUGCCGGACUAGAGUUCGGAAGAGGAAAGUGGAAUUCCUGGUGUAGCGGUGAAAUGCGCAGAUAUCAGGAAGAACACCAAUGGCGAAAGCAGCUUUCUGGGACGGUACUGACGCUGAGACGCGAAAGCGUGGGGAGCGAACAGG